GAGUGCCUUCAUCUGAAUUGUCUCACCUACAGGCCGUGGAUGUGGUGGGCCAGGCCGGCAAGCCGAAGACCAUCACGGGGUUCCAGACACAUACCACCCCCGUGUUGCUGGCCCAUGGGGAACGGGCAGAAUUGGCUACUGAGGAGUUUCUUCCUGUAACCCCCAUUCUGGAAGGUUUUGUUAUCCUUCGGAAGAACCCCAACUAUGACCUCUAAGUGGACACCAGGGGCCCCAGCUUCCGAUGGAUCGGACCCUCGGGAAAUAACGAAUGUAAUGGAUCUUUCUGGGAGAUGCACGCACACAUUUUUGCGAACUCUUAGGCCUGACUUGCCAGAGACAUUGUGGACCCCGGCCUGUACUCUCUUCCCUGUGUACUGGUUUAUCCCCGAGUCCAUCUUCUGACCUUCGCCUAAGGAUGCCCGAGAGAGGGAAUCCCCGUCUUUUCCUAAUUCAGCUGUGUGCUACUAAAUGAAAAGGACAUCUUUUCCUCCUG